rnacentral:rRNA from 1 species
GACGAACGCUGGCGGCGUGCUUAACACAUGCAAGUCGAACGGAAAGGCCCUGCUUUUGUGGGGUGCUCGAGUGGCGAACGGGUGAGUAACACGUGAGUAACCUGCCCUUGACUUUGGGAUAACUUCAGGAAACUGGGGCUAAUACCGGAUAGGAGCUCCUGCUGCAUGGUGGGGGUUGGAAAGUUUCGGCGGUUGGGGAUGGACUCGCGGCUUAUCAGCUUGUUGGUGGGGUAGUGGCUUACCAAGGCUUUGACGGGUAGCCGGCCUGAGAGGGUGACCGGCCAGAUUGGGACAGAGAGACGGCCCAGACUCCUACGGGAGGCAGCAGUGGGGGAUAUUGCACAAUGGGCGGAAGCCUGAUGCAGCAACGCCGCGGGCGGGAUGACGGCCUGCGGGUUGUAAACCGUUUUCGCCUGUGACGAAGCGUGAGUGAAGGUAAUGGGUAAAGAAGCACCGGCUAAAUACGUG